rnacentral:rRNA from 1 species
UACGUAGGGUGCAAGCGUUAAUCGGAAUUACUGGGCGUAAAGCGUGCGCAGGCGGUUGUGCAAGACCGAUGUGAAAUCCCCGGGCUCAACCUGGGAAUGGCAUUGGUGACUGCACGGCUAGAGUGUGUCAGAGGGGGGUAGAAUUCCACGUGUAGCAGUGAAAUGCGUAGAGAUGUGGAGGAACACCGAUGGCGAAGGCAGCCCCCUGGGUCAAGACUGACGCUCAUGCACGAAAGCGUGGGGAGCAAACAGG